rnacentral:misc_RNA from 1 species
UUAAUUUAUUUGUUUUGCCUUGCGGCGUAUUCAGAAGAUGCUGAUAAUACAAGAGUUUGAUGGUCCCCGGCGGCCGCUGGUCCAGUCCGCGUCCGGCUGGGGCGAGUCCGCCGAAGCAACGAUAGGUAGGUUCACAUAAGGGUUUGGGAGUUGAAAACUCGGUAAUGAUCCCUCCGCUGGUUCACCAACGGAGA